rnacentral:rRNA from 1 species
GACGAACGCUGGCGGCGUGCCUAAUACAUGCAAGUAGAACGCUGAAGAGAGGAGCUUACUCUUCUUGGAUGAGUUGCGAACGGGUGAGUAACGCGUAGGUAACCUGCCUUGUAGCGGGGGAUAACUAUUGGAGACGAUAGCUAAUACCGCAUAACAAUGGAUGACACAUGUCAUUUAUUUGAAAGGGGCAAUUGCUCCACUACAAGAUGGACCUGCGUUGUAUUAGCUAGUAGGUGAGGUAAUGGCUCACCUAGGCGACGAUACAUAGCCGACCUGAGAGGGUGAUCGGCCACACUGGGACUGAGACACGGCCCAGACUCCUACGGGAGGCAGCAGUAGGGAAUCUUCGGCAAUGGGGGCAACCCUGACCGAGCAACGCCGCGUGAGUGAAGAAGGGUUUCGGAUCGUAAAGCUCUGUUGUAAGUCAAGAACGGGUGUGAGAGUGGAAAGUUCACACUGUGACGGUAGCUUACCAGAAAGGGACGGCUAACUACGUG